GUCUGUGUAGCUCAGUUGGUAGAGCAUGGUGUUUGCAAUGCCAGGGUUGUGGGUUCAAUUCCCACGGGGGACC
rnacentral:tRNA from 1 species